GACGAACGCUGGCGGCGUGCUUAACACAUGCAAGUCGAGCGGUAAGGCCCUUUCGGGGGUACGACGAGCGGCGAACGGGUGAGUAACACGUGGGUGACCUGCCCUCAGCUCUGGGAUAAGCCUGGGAAACCGGGUCUAAUACCGGAUAUGACUCCAUGACGCAUGUUGUGGGGUGGAAAGCCUUGUGCGGCUGAGGAUGGGCCCGCGGCCUAUCAGCUUGUUGGUGGGGGAUGGCCUACCAAGGCGACGACGGGUAGCCGGCCUGAGAGGGCGACCGGCCACACUGGGACUGAGACACGGCCCAGACUCCUACGGGAGGCAGCAGUGGGGAAUCUUGCGCAAUGGGCGAAAGCCUGACGCAGCGACGCCGCGUGAGGGAUGACGGCCUGGUGUAACGU
rnacentral:rRNA from 1 species